AGCUUGAAGAACGUUUUGGCCAUGCUUGAGUUGGCUUGACCAAUUGAGCUUGAUACUCAAUUUGGUCCGACUAUUCUUUGAUACAUCUAAUUCGUCGAGUUCAGCAAGCUGAUAUAGUGAGAAGUGACCACCUAAAGAUGAGAAGCGAGAGCUUAAAUCCUUGAUUAUUAAUUCACUAAUCUUUAAUUUUCCUUCAACCUUUCAGCUCUCUACAUCUCUCUGUCUCCUUCUAUUCACCCACUUCUAGCAUUAAUCUCUCCUCUUCACCCACUUCCACC
rnacentral:lncRNA from 1 species